rfam:Methanoplanus petrolearius DSM 11571, complete genome.
GCGAGGGUAGCCAAGUGGUCAACGGCGCUCGACUCAAGAUCGAGUCCUUAGUGGUUCGCGGGUUCGACUCCCUCCCCUCGCA